AUGAUGAACUCGAGGGUGGCGAUGGCCGCGUGGUGGGUUUGUGGACUCCUCCCGCUUCUGCUGCUGGCGGUGGCCGCGGAUGGGGACUCGGAGCCGCUGAUCCGGCUGCCGACGGAGAACGGGCAUGCCCCUGCCCCUGCGCCUGGCCCUGCCGCGUCAGCGCCGGAGGAAGGGGUGACGAAGUGGGCCGUGCUCGUUGCGGGCUCCUCCGGCUACGAGAACUACCGGCACCAGCGUGUGCUUGCUCAACGAUUAUUUGUGGUGCUGUUGAUGCACGACGACGACGUACAGGCCGAUGUAUGUCACGCGUACCAGAUCCUGAAGAAGGGAGGACUCAAGGAUGAGAACAUAGUGGUUUUUAUGUACGACGAUAUCGCCAACAGCCCUGAAAACCCAAGGCGUGGGGUCGUCAUCAACCAUCCUAAAGGCAAAGAUGUUUACCAUGGUGUUCCCAAGGAUUACACCGGUGAGCACGUCACUGCUAAAAACUUGUAUGCGGUUCUCUUGGGGAACAAAACUGCGGUCACCGGAGGGAGUAGGAAGGUGAUAAACAGCAAACCGAAUGAUCACAUCUUCAUCUACUACACGGAUCAUGGGGGUGCUGGUUCACUUGGUAUGCCCAACGUGCCGUUUGUUUAUGCUGGCGACUUCAUCAAAGUGUUACGGCAAAAGCAUGCUUCCAAAAGCUAUUCGAAAAUGAUCAUAUAUGUUGAAGCGUGUGAGAGUGGCAGCAUCUUUGAGGGUUUAAUGCCACAAGAUCACAAUAUUUAUGUUACAACAGCAGCAAAUGCGGAAGAAAGUAGCUGGGCAGCAUACUGCCCUGGGAUGGAAGUACCACCUCCUUCUGAAUACAAGACCUGUUUAGGUGACGCAUACAGUGUGUCUUGGAUGGAAGACAGUGAAACUCACAAUCUGAAGAAGGAAAGCAUCAAGCAGCAGUACGAGGUGGUUAAAGCGAGAACGGCACCCCCAAACGAGUCCAGUAUUGGCUCUCAUGUCAUGGAGUAUGGUGACAAGACAUUCAAGGGUGACAUGCUUUUCCUCUAUCAAGGUUUCGAUCCUGCAAAGUCAUACUCCAGUUAUUUCAGGCAGCGUUUGCCCAGCCUCAAGGGUGCAAUCAAUCAAAGAGAUGCCGACAUUCUUUUCAUGUGGAAGAAGUAUGAGCAGUUAAAUGGUGGAUCAGAGGAGAAGCAGAGGGCUCUCACGGAGAUCAAAGAAACUGUGCUACACAGGAAGCAUCUCGACAGCAGUAUCGAUUUCAUCGGGAAGCUUGUCUUUGGAUUCGAAAAGGGUCCUUCAGUGCUUGACGCUGCUAGAGGCUCUGGCCAGCCAUUGGUCGACGAUUGGGAUUGUCUGAAGACGAUGGUGCGAAUUUUCGAGUCUCAGUGCGGAUCACUCACUCAGUAUGGCAUGAAGCACAUGAGGGCGUUCGCCAACAUAUGCAACAAUGGCGUCUCCGAGGCCGAGAUGAAGGAGGCAAGCAUCAGCGCUUGCGACGAUUACGACAUGGGGAAGUGGAGCCCGCUGGUUCGAGGGCACAGCGCCUGA
rnacentral:rRNA from 1 species